rnacentral:lncRNA from 1 species
UUGUCAACAGUAACUUGACCAAGUGAUUCUUGAUCUCUUCCAGUCAGGAGUAUUACCUUAAAUCCAUUAUCUAUCAACUUGUUAAAUAGCUUUAAUACCGGAGGAAUUGCUGUGCACCAUCCUUUAACUGCCCAUGCCCUAAACGCAGGUGGAUCAUAUGGCUCACACCUAUAUGUAUAUAUUUCAGAUUUUACUAUAGUUAAAAAAAGGAUUUUUCUAUCAUGUGCAAAUUUGCACAUGAUAAGAAAUUUAAAGUAGUAACUUUGACUUGAAACUUGUGCAUUUAUAUUAAAUAUGUAAAUUUUUAGUAAUUAAUUGUUAGUUUUCAAUGAAAAGUUACUACUUUUACUUUCCUUAACAUGUGCAAUAUUACACAUGUUAGACAAACCCAAAAAUUUCCUUAAAAAAAUAGGGUUAAAUAAGUUUUUGGUACUAUAAAUAUACUAUUUUUUUGUUUUUGGUCCUCUUAAAAAUUUUCUUUAAUUAAUGGUUUCUAAAUGCUUGACAUCAACAAAUUUGGUCCUCUUUGACGAAAAACAUUCAAAGGUCCAUGGUUGGACCUUUUUUGAAAGGGUGCAUAUUAUGGUGUGUGCGUAGUAAGAACAUAAUGAGAUUAUGAAAUGCUGACUUGGCGGGCUGAGUGACAUGCUGACUGUGCAUAUCUGAUUAUGUGGCGUGCUGACUGUAUAAUUAUUUUUUUUUUAUUUAUUUAAAAAUAUAUAUAAAAAUUAAAAAAAAUCAGAAUUUUUUUUAUUACGAAAAAUAUUUUCUGAAAUAUUAAUUUUUCGAAAAUUCCAAAAUUUAUAAUUUACGAAAAAUAUAUAUUUCAAAAUUUUUUAAAAUUAUUUUCGAAAAUGUUAAAAUAUAUAUUUCAAAAAAAAAAAUUCAAAAUUAUUUUCGAAAAUUUGGAAUAUAUUUUUUGAAGUUUAAAACAUAUUUUUUUUCGAAAAAUAAGUUUUUAAAAUUUUCUCAACAAAAAAAAAAUCUGGAUACAAAUUAAUUUAAAAAUUUAGGAAAAUUUAGAUUUUUAUUAUGAUGUGUUACAGAUUUGAGAAUAUUUUUUAAUAUUUAAAAAUUGAGGAUAAAAAAAUCUGGAAAUUUUUUUAAUAUUUAAAUUUAAUCUUAUCUAUUUGUUACAUGUGUUAUUUGUAUUGAAAAUUGUGGGCAUUUUUGAAAAGAAACAGCCAACCCAAAAGCUAAAAGGGGUUGUUUUCUUUAUAUAUAUUUCCAAAAAUAUUAUAUAUAAAAAAUUCAUACACUUACUAUAUUUUGAAACUUUCGAAAAAUUAAAAAAAAAGUCCAAAUUAAAUUAAAAUUUUAAAAAUAUUCGAGAAAAAUAAUAUAAGCUAAUUUUUGAAUGUUUUGGUAAAAAAAUUAAUAUUUUUAUUUUUUGAAAAAAAAUCCAAUUUUUUUUUUCUUCGUUUUUUAAAAAAAUUGUUUUUUUCUUUCUUGAUUUUAAAUUUUUGAAAAUGAAUUUUCAGUUUUUUUUAUCUUUUUAAAAAUAAUUUAUUAAACCAUUACACACAUGUUAAAUUUAAAAUAAAUAAAAAAUUAAAAUAAUUACACAGUGGCGUGCCACAUCAGCGUCUGAAUGGGGUCAAAGGUGUUUUGUGGAGAAUCUUCAUAUUACAAGGGUGUUUUGUGGAGAAUCUUUAUAUUAUAGGGUUGGAAUCUAAACUUUUUUUUUUACAGGGGGGAAAACCGGAACUCGCCCAAAUUACAGAGGGGGUAAAGACAUAUUAACCCAAAUUAAAAACACAAAUCCAAAACUUAAACUUACAAAACAGAAAAUAAAAAGGAAUGGAUGGAUGGACCUAUGGUCCUUCAAACAUGAAAUUCCAUAAAAUAAAAUAAAAACCUAAUAAGAUAAAAUGGUGGUUUUGUUAGAGGAGGAGGAGGAGGUGGUGGUGGCGGCGGCGGCGGUGAAGAGCGGCGGUGAUUAUGCGGCAGCGGCAACGGCGGGAUCAUUGUUGGGGCAGAAAAAUUUCUGGCGAAUGGAAUUUCCGAUUGAAGCUAGUUGGAGGAGAACAUCGUUGUAUCUAAAGCCCAGGACCAAGAUAAUAGGGAUUGACCAGGUCCACCCAACAAUUUUUGCGAAAUCAUGGUUCAAAAGUUUGACGAUGAAUCCCGAAAUCAAAGCAUUAAGCACCAUAAUAAUGAGCAUUUGGAGAACACGCUUGUUGUUUGGCCUGUCCAGAGAGGCAAAGAGAGUGAAGAAAAGAAAGGUCACGUGAAUGACUGCAACAACUGAUAUCACAGUGUGUUUAACACUUGUGUGCUCGUUCAGGUAUCGCAAAACAUCUUUGUCAAGUUGAGAACAGAGUAGAGCACCAAAUGCCAUAACAACUCUCACACAGAUAGAUUCAAAGAUCUGAAAACGCUCCCUCAUCUCAACAUGAGGGUCUUCAAGAGUCUGGACAACAGCCAUUGAAAUUUGAAAGUUUCUUCCGACUCCGGCUUCCAUUGGUUUGUGUUUGUGUUUGUGUUCUCUGUCUGAUUGAAAUAAUUUCGAAUUUUUUGUUUUGUGAAUGCAAGCUGAGUCUUGGUAGUAGUUUUAUAGAGGGUAAUAGUACGCUGCUUCAUUGCUAUUGUUGUUACGGGAAAAGGUGGGAUGGUGGUGGUGGAGUGAAUUUGAUUUUUUUUUGUUUUUGAGGAAAAGAUAGUACUGCUUUAUAUGAUGGUUUAUCUAGCCUUGCCGAAUUUCAUUUUUUGACAAAAGGAUAAGGAUGGAAUGAUGAUUGGUUAAAAGUACACUGUGUCAUGUUUGCAUUUUUCAAGGGUUGGUGAAAUUAUUUUGUCCCAAAGAUAUCAUAUAAUUACCUAGGUAGGAAAUGGAUGGAUGGACCUAUGGUCCUUGAAACAUGAAAUUACAUAAAAUAAAAUAAAAAAACCUAAUAAGAUAAAAUGGUGGUUUUGUUAGAGGAGGAGGAGGAGGUGGUGGUGGCGGCUGUAACACCCCGUUUUCCCAACAUAAAAAUUUCAUACAAAAAUCAGAGUUUUCAACAUAAACGGAAUGUCACACUUCUUUUCAAAAAACGUAAAUGGAAUAAAUAACUAUUUAUCCUUCAUAAAUCAAUAACAUAAUAUUUAAUACUUCGCAGCGGAAUUUAUUCAACAUCUAGAAUAGUCUUUGACACGAAGGCCUCAUUAAAAUAUCUCAUAAAAAUCCAAUUAACAACUUAAUCUUGUAAAUUCAUAAACAAUACGUAAGGAAUAGAAAAACAUGCAACAAAAAUUCUCAUCCCUUUACGUAUCAGAGCACCUAAAGACACACGCGAGAGAAACCUCACACAACCGCAAGUAUUCUUGGUUACCUGCUAGUUAUCCAUUGUGGGCAACAUUUAAAUAGAAGGGGUGAGAUUUCACAAAACAAUAAUAUUAAACAUAUAAUUCAAUAAAUUAUAUUUAACAACAUGAAAACAUCAUAAUAUUCAUCAUAGAUAAUAAUAUAUCAUAUAUCACAUCAUUAAUAGUUCAAAUAAAGAAUCACAGCAUAAACAACUUGACAACUUAACACUUUUGACUCGACAAAUGCGACUCCAACUCGACUAUGUAACUUAGACCUCUUAUAUGCAUGUGGUACCAAUACAGAGCAUCAAGCCCCCAUCGCUAUUUGAGUAUUAAUNAACAUUUACUUAUAUUUGCUGAAAUAAAUUAACAAUUGUCCCAACAUACAUUAAAGAAGUUAGGGAACAAAAUACAUAGGAUUAGGGAGCUUGAAUGUACGGUUUCCGGAAGAGUUUCCUUGGAGAUCACUCCAUUGGUCCCCUACAUUUCCCCAUAUUUUGUAACCUUCAUCCUCUAAUUGCUUCCUUAUAUUGGAUUUAUACAUUACUGCACUUUGCCCUUUAUAUGCUGCUGUCCUGUAAAUUAAUUAUAUGAUCCAGGACUAAUUAAUCAACUUUUUUAAAAUGUGACAAUUAUAAUCAUACAAUAUACCAACAAUGAAAUAAUUCAAAUGGUAAGAAGUAUGUGCUCUUAAACAAUUGAUCAGAAGUUCGACCUCUAACUCUUAAAUAUGUCUCUUAUAGAAAUUAAUCAUCAUUAAACGGCGAUGAAAACUUCAUAAAGAAAAUAUUAAUGACAUGUAUCCAUGGGUCUUACCUCAUAAUGAGUCUUUCGUAUGCAAUGAAUCCUUGAUUGUGCAAAUUGUCAACAGUAACUUGACCAAGUGAUUCUUGAUCUCUUCCAGUCAGGAGUAUUACCUUAAAUCCAUUAUCUAUCAACUUGUUAAAUAGCUUUAAUACCGGAGGAAUUGCUGUGCACCAUCCUUUAACUGCCCAUGCCCUAAACGCAGGUGGAUCAUAUGGCUCACACCUAUAUGUAUAUAUUUCAGAUUUUACUAUAGUUAAAAAAAGGAUUUUUCUAUCAUGUGCAAAUUUGCACAUGAUAAGAAAUUUAAAG